rnacentral:rRNA from 1 species
AGUGAACGCUGGCGGUAGGCCUAACACAUGCAAGUCGAACGGCAGCACAGUAAGAGCUUGCUCUUACGGGUGGCGAGUGGCGGACGGGUGAGGAAUACAUCGGAAUCUACUUUUUCGUGGGGGAUAACGUAGGGAAACUUACGCUAAUACCGCAUACGACCUACGGGUGAAAGCAGGGGAUCUUCGGACCUUGCGCGAUUGAAUGAGCCGAUGUCGGAUUAGCUAGUUGGCGGGGUAAAGGCCCACCAAGGCGACGAUCCGUAGCUGGUCUGAGAGGAUGAUCAGCCAUACUGGAACUGCGACACGGUCCAGACUCCUACGGGAGGCAGCAGUGGGGAAUAUUGGACAAUGGGCGCAAGCCUGAUCCAGCCAUACCGCGUGGGUGAAGAAGGCCUUCGGGUUGUAAAGCCCUUUUGUUGGGAAAGAAAAGCAGCAGGUUAAUACCCCGCUGUUCUGACGGUACCCAAAGAAUAAGCACCGGCUAACUUCGUG